AGGCGCAGCCCUCCUCCACCUCAUCAAUUCCAACCUCCGGUGGUUUCUUCUCCUCCUCCGGCCCCGGUCAACUCUCCACCACCACCUCCUCCUCCACCUGUUCACUCUCCGCCACCACCGGUUCACUCUCCACCACCACCUGUUCACUCUCCGCCACCGCCAGUCCACUCUCCUCCACCGCCACCGCCUGUUCACUCUCCUCCACCGCCUGUCUUUUCGCCACCGCCACCGCCUGUCCACUCACCUCCACCGCCACCACCUCCAGUCUACUCUCCACCGCCGCCACCUCCAGUAAAUUCCCCACCGCCACCUGUUCACUCACCGCCGCCCCCAGUCCAUUCGCCACCACCCCCUCCGGUUCACUCACCGCCGCCACCGGUUCAUUCCCCACCGCCACCAGCACCUGUUC
rnacentral:lncRNA from 1 species